rnacentral:rRNA from 1 species
GACGAACGCUGGCGGCGUGCUUAACACAUGCAAGUCGAGCGGUAAGGCCCUUUCGGGGGUACACGAGCGGCGAACGGGUGAGUAACACGUGGGUGACCUGCCCUCAGCUCUGGGAUAAGCCUGGGAAACUGGGUCUAAUACCGGAUAUGACUCCAUGACGCAUGUUGUGGGGUGGAAAGCCUUGUGCGGCUGAGGAUGGGCCCGCGGCCUAUCAGCUUGUUGGUGGGGNGAUGGCCUACCAAGGCGACGACGGGUAGCCGGCCUGAGAGGGCGACCGGCCACACUGGGACUGAGACACGGCCCAGACUCCUACGGGAGGCAGCAGUGGGGAAUCUUGCGCAAUGGGCGAAAGCCUGAUCCAGCGAUGCCGCGUGUGUGAAGAAGGCCUGCGGGUUGUAAAGCACUUUCAGUAGGGAAG